AUUGAACGCUGGCGGCAUGCCUUACACAUGCAAGUCGAACGGCAGCACGGGAGCAAUCCUGGUGGCGAGUGGCGAACGGGUGAGUAAUAUAUCGGAACGUGCCCGGUCGUGGGGAUAACGUAGCGAAAGCUACGCUAAUACCGCAUACGAUCUACGGAUGAAAGCGGGGGAUCGCAAGACCUCGCGCGAUUGGAGCGGCCGAUAUCAGAUUAGGUAGUUGGUGAGGUAAAGGCUCACCAAGCCGACGAUCUGUAGCUGGUCUGAGAGGACGACCAGCCACACUGGGACUGAGACACGGCCCAGACUCCUACGGGAGGCAGCAGUGGGGAAUUUUGGACAAUGGGCGCAAGCCUGAUCCAGCAAUGCCGCGUGCAGGAUGAAGGCCUGGUUGUAACU
rnacentral:rRNA from 1 species